rnacentral:rRNA from 1 species
GACGAACGCUGGCGGCGUGCUUAACACAUGCAAGUCGAGCGAUGAAGCUCCUUCGGGAGUGGAUUAGCGGCGGACGGGUGAGUAACACGUGGGUAACCUGCCUCAUAGAGGGGAAUAGCCUUUCGAAAGGAAGAUUAAUACCGCAUAAGCUUGGAGUGCCGCAUGGCAUAGCAAUUAAAGGAGUAAUCCGAUGUGAGAUGGACCCGCGUCGCAUUAGCUAGUGGGUAAGGUAACGGCUCACCAAGGCGACGAUGCGUAGCCGACCUGAGAGGGUGAUCGGCCACAUUGGGACUGAGACACGGCCCAGACUCCUACGGGAGGCAGCAGUGGGGAAUAUUGCACAAUGGGGGAAACCCUGAUGCAGCAACGCCGCGUGAGUGAUGACGGUCUUCGGAUUGUAAAACUCUGUCUUCAGGGACGAUAAUGACGGUACCUGAGGAGGAAGCCACGGCUAACUACGUGCCAGCCGCCGCAGUAA